rnacentral:rRNA from 1 species
CAGGUGCUGCAUGGCCGUCGUCAGCUCGUGUCGUGAGAUGUUGGGUUAAGUCCCGCAACGAGCGCAACCCUUGUGAAUAGUUGCCAGCACGUCAUGGUGGGAACUCUAUUCAGACUGCCCAGAUCAACUGGGAGGAAGGUGGGGACGACGUGAGGUGAGUAUGGCGCCUUACGCCUUGGGCUGCACACGUACUACAAUGCCCAGUACAAUGAGAACCGAUGCCGCGAGGUGGAGGAAAUCUGCAAAACUGGGCCCAGUUCGGAUUGGAGGCUGCAACUCGCCUCCAUGAAGUUGGAAUCGCUAGUAAUGGCAGAUCAGCUACGCUGCCGUGAAUACGUUCCCGGGUCUUGUACACACCGCCCGUCACAUCAUGAAA